rnacentral:piRNA from 1 species
UGAGCCUGCAAACUCAUUUCCCCAG